UACGUAGGGGGCAAGCGUUGUCCGGAUUUAUUGGGCGUAAAGAGCGUGUAGGCGGCCAAGCAGGUCAGCUGUGAAAACUCGAGGCUCAACCUCGAGACGUCGGUUGAAACCGCUUGGCUAGAGUCCGGAAGAGGAGAGUGGAAUUCCCGGUGUAGCGGUGAAAUGCGCAGAUAUCGGGAAGAACACCCGUGGCGAAGGCGGCACUCUGGGACGGUACUGACGCUGAGACGCGAAAGCGUGGGGAGCGAACAGG
rnacentral:rRNA from 1 species